GUGAAACAUCUACUCCCUAUAUAUAUAUAUAUAUAUUCCUCUGAUAGCCGUGAGAUUGGACACCGAAUCAACCUUCUAACUGCCCCAGCUUCCUUCAAUUGAUCUUGUUCCAGUGUUGUGUUCAAGACCACCUAAAGCGAGACCAAUUCAAGACCAAGGCCGGAGCAAAUCAAGUCCGAGUCAAAACCAAGACUGGAAGGGGGGGGGGGAGAACGAGCUUGAGACAAGGGGUCCGAGACGGAGUCAAGACCAGAAAAAUAUAAGUCAAAUUCAAGACCACGAGUAAACUUUGUCAAAUCACCACCAUAAGAGUUGAAAAUGUCCAGUAUUUCUGUGUCCAUCUUUCAGAACAUACUGAUUCUUUAGACAUUCAAAUUAGUGAAGAAACGCAUGCUGGGGGAAAACCGUCACAUAUGAUUACUAACCUAAACACAGUGGGGAACAAGCUCUCCUACACCUUCAGAGAAGGCCUAAGGAUUUAUACAAUUAUUUUUCAUAGAAUGACAAUUAUAUUAUUAUUUUCAAUGUUGUUCUGAUUUAAUCUUGUGAGUUUGUUGUAAAGGAAAGAGUUAACACUGAAGAGAGAAAAACGAUUGAAUCAGUAUUUUUAUUCGCUGGUCUCCAGGGAGAUACAUCUAGCUAAGUCAGCCAUUGGCUAUCAGAAGCUAGAUAAAAGGCAUCUGCCAUUCAACUGUAUUAGGACAACAUUUUGGAGUGACAGAGAAAUCAACCAAUCACAUUUUGACUUAAUGAGCAGAACUGUUUUUACAAAAACAUUUUCACUGCGCAAUAGCGAGCAGUAGUUUUCCCAGUCUAGCUAGCUAGAUUUUGUUGUCAGGUAGUGUGCAGCGGCUGCAGCAGGUGUUAUCAAAGAGGAUGUUGUUUAAUUUAUUAGGUUCUCCCUUUUCAAGAAUAACUUUCAACAAGAAGUUAAGUUUCAAACGAUCAUCUAGUGAGAGGAACUUUUUUAUUGCAAGCCUGCUGUGGUCAGCCAUCUCUUUGAAAAUAACUUGUGUGAAAUUGCAUUUACAGUGGAGCUAACAGCAUUUUAGCAACAUGACAUCUUAUUAAAAUAUGUUCAAAUACACCCCCAGGAAGAAUGACUUAAAAAAAAAAUAUAUAUGACAUUUUCGGACAAGCGACCAAAUCACUGUAGAUAUGGUAAUUUUCAUAAAUUCUUAGAACGUUUGGGAAUUACGUAUACUACAAGGCAUUUGUGAAAAUUCUAUCGCAAUAUAGAGUGGGAAAGUGGCCGUGCGUUUGGACAAUUAAUAGACACUGCAGUCUACAUAGACCAGUGCGCUAUUGCCAAUCAGAACUACAGAAGGUCUUUAUACAAACAAGCCACGCGGGCUUCCAUCAUUCAUUUGGAACAGGACUGUGUAUUUACAGGCAGUUACAACACCUCGACUUCAGAUCAUUAGAACGCAUUCGCCAAAAGCCGAUUUAUGCAAAUAUGUAAACACCUCAGUCCCGUUGAUCAAACAACCAUGUAAAGGUAGGCUCUCUCCCAAUCAGUUAUGCACAUUAACAGCAAGAUCAACUAAUGCUAAUGAUGAAUUAUAUGAAUCAUGCAUUGAACUGCAUCCAUCUACUCUGCCAACAAUGCCUUAGUGUACGUUAUGGAACGCUGAGUCAAAUAGAGCCAACUUUUAAAAACCUCUUAUAAUGUAGGUUGUAGCAUAAACUGGGAAUUUUAUAUUUUUGACUGAUAUUAUGAUAGUCUGUUUCAUAUCUGCAAAGUAGUUAAAACGUUUAAACUUUAGGUCACCGGUUACUUUGUGUGCUUAACGUGAAAUGUUUUUUGUAAUGGGAAGUAAGUUGUAAAAUUCAAUGGUUGUGUUUUUGUAUUCUGAUUGGGACCUACUAUGUCAGAGUUUAUGGACUGCUUAUCCUUUAAAAAUCAUGCUGUAUGUGACUGCUCUCUUUCCAUCGGCCCUAUGCAGUGGUAUAGAGGUGCCAGGUAUACUCGGAUACUUGCCAAAAAUGUUCCCAAACGGCCCACCUAAGGAAGGAAAGGCACCUUGUGUGAAAACUGUGUAUUCCUGUUUAAAAAAAAAUAGUUUUCCUAUACAUUUCAGAUUUUCACUCUCAAAACCACCUUUUUUUAUAGAAAAAUACAAAACUUUAAUGGUCUUAGUCCACAACAAUGCUUGAACCACAUCAAUCUGAUUGGAUGGGCUUGUCAGGGCCUGGCUCCCAAAUGGAUGGGCCUCUGUCCACCCAGGCCCAUCCAUGUCUACGCCCCUGAUGCAAAUGGCGCAUGACAAAUGCACAUUACUAAGUUUACUAAUCAACACUUCGGACUAAACUUUUUAAAUACCUGGUUUGCAUACCCAUUGUUGCCUUAAUUAGCAUAUACUGGUAGAUUUACGGAACUGAAAUGAAGUGAAAUGUCUUCCCUACCCGACCUGCGUCAUACUUCUGUGAGCUGCUCCAUGCCAAAACCAGUUGAGAGCUGCACACUUGCUGCCUGCAGAUGAUAUGCGGCGUGUGUGUGAAUAUAUGUCACGUGCUUUGCGAUUGUGUAGGCUACUUUGUGCAGGCUACUUUGUGCAUGAUUUCACCAUUGUACUACAUAAGCUGUAUACCUCCACUACUUUGACACGCAUCAGCAGGGAUUAAGGAGUGAGGUUACGCAAUACCCACUGGAGAAAAAAGGGAAGUAAUAGUUGCAUUGAACUGUGGGUUGACAGCUUACACCUGAGAAUACCCUCCACUACACCACUGGCCUUUUGUGUUUUACAAAACGUGCACUCUCCUACAUGAGUGACCUGGUAUUACGCUUGAUGUCCUUUCAGAAUCACCAACCUGUCACACACAGAAGACCUAUAGGUCCUCCAUUGUACUAACCUGUCACACACACACACUGAAGACCUAUAGGUCCUCCACUGUACUAACCUGUCACACACAGACCUAUAGGUCCUCCACUGUACUAACCUGUCACACACUGAAGACCUACAGGUUCUCCACUGAAGUAACCUGUCACACACACACUGAAGGCCUACAGGUUCUCCACUGUACUAACCUGUCACACACUGAAGGCCUACAGGUUCUCCACUGUACUAACCUGUCACACACUGAAGACCUACAGGUUCUCCACUGUACUAACCUGUCACACACUGAAGGCCUACAGGUUCUCCACUGUACUAACCUGUCACACACUGAAGGCCUACAGGUUCUCCACUGUACUAACCUGUCACACACACACACUGAAGGCCUACAGGUUCUCCACUGUACUAACCUGUCACACACACACACUGAAGGCCUACAGGUUCUCCACUGUACUAACCUGUCACACACUGAAGGCCUACAGGUUCUCCACUGUACUAACCUGUUACACACUGAAUGCCUACAGGUUCUCCACUGUACUAACCUGUCACACACACACACACUGAAGACCUAUAGGUUCACCACUGAACUAACCUGUCAUACACACACUGAAGACCUAUAGGUUCUCCACUGCACUAACCUGUCACACACACUGAAGACCUACAGGUUCUCCACUGUACUAACCUGUCACACACACUGAAGGCCUACAGGUUCUCCACUGUACUAACCUGUCACACACACACACUGAAGGCCUAGAGGUUCUCCACUGUACUAACCUGUCACACACUGAAGGCCUACAGGUUCUCCACUGUACUAACCUGUCACACACUGAAGGCCUACAGGUUCUCCACUGUACUAACCUGUCACACACUGAAGACCUACAGGUUCUCCACUGUACUAACCUGUCAGACACACACACUGAAGACCUAUAGGUCCCCCACUGCUAUAACAUAUCUAUAAUAGAUAUAAAAGCUGUUAAGAAACUGUAUUCAUUUUUCAAGAAAUAUAUAUAUAUAUAUAUAUUUGGCCUCGUAAAUGGAAGCUGAUAGUUUAUUUUUUACUCGGCUGGUCUCAGGAAGAAAUUACGAGUCCUCACUGCCCGAGAUCGAGUUAAGACCAAGAGCAAAUGUAUCCGACACAAGACCAAGACACUCAACAUGUGGUCUUGAGACCGGUCAAUUAUAGCCCCUCAUUUACACAUCAGAUUGUCCUUUUCUCUAACGAUCUUUGCCC